AGCGAACGCUAGCGGCGGGCUUAACACAUGCAUGUCGAGCGCCUUCCUUCGGGAAGGAGCGGCGGACGGGUGAGUAACACGUAGGUUACCUGCCCUUUGGUGGGGAAUAACUAGAGGAAACUCUGGCUAAUACCGCAUAUGGCCUUCGGGUCAAAGCCUUCGGGCGCCAAAGGAUGGGCCUGCGUCCCAUUACCUAGUUGGUGGGGUAACGGCCUACCAAGGGGACGAUGGGUAGCUGGUCUGAGAGGAUGAUCAGCCACACUGGGACUGAGACACGGCCCAG
rnacentral:rRNA from 1 species